AACGUAGGUACCGAGCGUUAUCCGGAUUCACUGGGCGUAAAGCGUGUGCAGGUGGUUUGGUAAGUCGGGCAUGAAAACUCUUGGCUCAACUGAGAGACGCUGUUCGAUACUGUCAAACUUGAGGGUGUGAGAGGGAGGUGGAAUUCCGCAUGUGGUGGUGUAAUGCGUAGAUAUGCGGAGGAACACCAGUGGCGAAGGCGGCCUCCUGGCACACUCCUGACACUCAUACACGAAAGCUAGGGGAGCGAACGGG
rnacentral:rRNA from 1 species